AUUGAACGCUGGCGGCAUGCCUUACACAUGCAAGUCGAACGGUAACGGGCCUUCGGGUGCCGACGAGUGGCGAACGGGUGAGUAAUACAUCGGAACGUGCCCGAUCGUGGGGGAUAACGAGGCGAAAGCUUUGCUAAUACCGCAUACGAUCUACGGAUGAAAGCAGGGGACCGCAAGGCCUUGCGCGGACGGAGCGGCCGAUGGCAGAUUAGGUAGCUGGUGGGAUAAAAGCUUACCAAGCCGACGAUCUGUAGCUGGUCUGAGAGGAUGAUCAGCCACACUGGGACUGAGACACGGCCCAGACUCCUACGGGAGGCAGCAGUGGGGAAUUUUGGACAAUGGGCGCAAGCCUGAUCCAGCCAUGCCGCGUGCAGGAUGAAGGCCUUCGGGUUGUAAACUGCUUUUGUACGGAACGAAAAGCCUUCUUUUAAUACAGGAGGGUCAUGACGGUACCGUAAGAAUAAGCACCGGCUAACUACGUG
rnacentral:rRNA from 1 species